GCAAAUCUCAAAAAAACAAAUCUCAGUUCAGACUGCAGGCUGCAACUCGCCUGCACGAAGUCGGAAUUGCUAGUAAUCGUAGGUCAGCAUACUACGGUGAAUACGUUCCCGGGCCUUGUACACACCGCCCGUCAAACCAUGAGAGUUGGCAACACCCGAAGUCGGUAGUCUAACCGCAAGGAGGACGCCGCCGAAGGUGGGGUUGAUGAUUAGGGUUAAGUCGUAACAAGGUAUC
rnacentral:rRNA from 1 species